UNGUGCGGAAGUAGCAUACUCAUCAAGGGU
rnacentral:piRNA from 1 species